UAGAGUUAUAAAAAAACUCCCAACCCAUGUGAACAUUACCUUUGUUGCCUCGGCGGAGAUCAAAAUCCGCCGGUGGUCCACUAAACUCUUGUUUUAUUAUAAGCAUCUGAGUGUUUUACUAUAAUAAGUUA
rnacentral:misc_RNA from 1 species